UCGGUGGCACAGAGAGAUUUGAACAAUUAAAGUUGUCCCUACUUGUUGAUGAGUUUUUGAAGGUUAGUGUGGACAAGUGGAUGGAUAUAACGGAGAUGAGAUAUGUGAUUGCAUCACAGUAUAACGUAAUCCUUGUAUCGUUGUCCCGAGAACAAAACAUGGCAUUUUUUCCUCUUAGAAGUUAACCACCACCUCAUUCUUCUGGGCACCGCAUGAUAUGUGUCGGUCACAUGUUUGGAAAUCAUUUUGUAUAGGUUUAUUUGAAAGACCAUUGUCCCUUACCGCCUCCAGCGUUGUUGUGGUCAAGCAAUUAUUAUUCUCAGGCAAAGCGGUGGACAACUCCAUAUAUUAGUGGAAUGCAGCAAUACACAAGCUUGAUGUCAUUUAAAAGACACUAUGUCAACCUAAAUGAAGACUAAACAUGCAUUGUUUAUGUAAUUGUAUUCAUUAUGCGAUAUAAUUUAUUGUAAGCCAUUAAUAACCAAUUAAUAUUAUUAAGUACUCAUUUCGUUAAGCAAAAAAAUAGUUGGUCCAACAAAAAUCAAUUACACGUGUACGAUACAUCAUUGUCAUAAUUGACAACACAUAAUGACAUGCAUGCGUAUUAAAGUUUGAGCGCGACACCACAUUGACUGACUUGACUACACAUUCUGAAGGAAACAUAAACACGAAACAAGUUCACACGUGUCUAUUUUUUUGUAAAAAAAGUGAAGCAAUCUGUCGGUGACAACCAUGUAUAUAUAUGAGACACGACUAAUAAAUCACACAUUAUCUUGCUUUCACAUAGUUUCCCAAUUGAUACACAAAGUAUGACAUUUUUAGGAGAAACUAACAGUCAGACGAUUGUCAACUCAAGGUUGGGUUUCAUUUUUCCAAAUGGAUCGAUUAUUCACAAUGAUACUGGGGUUUACUUCCAAACUUCGACUCCGGUGCCCAUUCGAGUACCAAACAUCUGUGAUUUUGUAAGCCUAAAAAUCAGAAUACACAAUACCCUUCGGCUAUCCGACAAACAAUUUUUGGAUGAAAUUCACUACCGGAAG